rnacentral:rRNA from 1 species
GACAGAGGUCCCAAGCGUUGUUCGGAUUCACUGGGCGUAAAGGGUGCGUAGGCGGUCGGGUAAGUCUGAUGUGAAAUCUCACAGCUUAACUGUGAAACUGCAUUGGAUACUAUUCGGCUUGAGAGUUGGAGGGGGGACUGGAAUUCUUGGUGUAGCAGUGAAAUGCGUAGAUAUCAAGAGGAACACCAGUGGCGAAGGCGAGUCCCUGGACAACUUCUGACGCUGAGGCACGAAAGCUAGGGGAGCAAACAGG